CAGAUACAGAGAAGAUUAGCAUGGUCCAUGCACAAGGGUGACAUGUAAAUUCAGGAAGCAUUCCAUGGUUUC
rfam:Columba livia unplaced genomic scaffold scaffold493, whole genome shotgun sequence.